rnacentral:rRNA from 1 species
UACGUAGGGUGCAAGCGUUGUCCGGAAUUAUUGGGCGUAAAGAGCUUGUAGGCGGUUUGUCGCGUCUGCUGUGAAAUUUCGGGGCUCAACCCCGAACUUGCAGUGGGUACGGGCAGACUAGAGUGUGGUAGGGGAGACUGGAAUUCCUGGUGUAGCGGUGAAAUGCGCAGAUAUCAGGAGGAACACCGGUGGCGAAGGCGGCAUCCUGGACCAAUAUUGACGCUGAGGAGCGAAAGCCAGGGGAGCAAACGGG